rnacentral:rRNA from 1 species
UACGUAGGGGGCAAGCGUUGUCCGGAUUUAUUGGGCGUAAAGAGCGUGUAGGCGGCCAUACAGGUCAGCUGUGAAAACUCGAGGCUCAACCUCGAGACGUCGGUUGAAACCGUAUGGCUAGAGUCCGGAAGAGGAGAGUGGAAUUCCCGGUGUAGCGGUGAAAUGCGCAGAUAUCAGGAGGAACACCCGUGGCGAAAGCGGCUCUCUGGGACGGUACUGACGCUGAGACGCGAAAGCGUGGGGAGCAAACAGG